rnacentral:rRNA from 1 species
UACGUAGGGUGCAAGCGUUAAUCGGAAUUACUGGACGUAAAGCGUGCGCAGGCGGUGAUGUAAGACAGUUGUGAAAUCCCCGGGCUCAACCUGGGAACUGCAUCUGUGACUGCAUCGCUGGAGUACGGCAGAGGGGGAUGGAAUUCCGCGUGUAGCAGUGAAAUGCGUAGAUAUGCGGAGGAACACCGAUGGCGAAGGCAAUCCCCUGGGCCUGUACUGACGCUCAUGCACGAAAGCGUGGGGAGCAAACAGG